AUUGAACGCUAGCGGGAUACCUUACACAUGCAAGUCGAACGAGUGGCGAACGGGUGAGUAAUGUAUCGGAACGUGCCCAGUAGCGGGGGAUAACUACGCGAAACGUAGCUAAUACCGCAUACUAUUGGAGCGGCCGAGCUCGGUUUAGCUCGUGGGUGGGGUAACGGCUCACCAAGGCGACGAUCCGUAGCUGGUUUGAGAGGACGACCAGCCACACUGGGACUGCGACACGGCCCAGACUCCUACGGGAGGCAGCAGUGGGGAAUUUUGGACAAUGGGGGAAACCCUGACCGAGCCAUCCCGCGUGUGCGAUGAAGGUCUUCGGGUUGUAAAGCACUGUUGGCAGGAAAGCGGUACCUGCAGAAUAAGCCCCGGCUAACUACGUGCCAGCAGCCGCGGUAAUUC
rnacentral:rRNA from 1 species